GGCAACUCAGGAUCACUUCAUUUUGAUUGUUUCGGAGUUUAUGUAUGGUCCAUGGAAAUAUGCACAAGAACAAGCUACACAUCGAGCAUCUACUAGCGAUGGUGAUUUAUGUACACCAUCAAUCACUGCUGCACAUGCUGAAACAUUUGAUUUGCAAAUGGCAGAAGAUCUAAAGAAGAAGAUUGGAACUUACUUCACUGACAAACUUCUGAAAAUUGUU
rnacentral:misc_RNA from 1 species